CUUAGGGCUGCAGGCAGCUCCGAGGCGGCAGCAGGAGAACAGAAUCUCUGGAUGGACCUUUCCUGGGAAGUUUUGCUAAUUUGCAGCAGCUGGACAAUGUUCCUCAUUAACAUCUGUUUGUCAGCGUAAUUGUCACAUAAUUUCACUGUGGUGGCAGGGAUUCAGCUCAGAAUUCUCUAUAGAAAACACCUGGAUCCUAGUCUUUCAAUGGCUUCCAGACAACCAGAAAUACCUGCUCUUCAGCCCAGUGGGCCUCUAGGCAAGAAGUCCCUGCCCAUCGGGAUAUACCGCCGGGCAUUGAGCUAGGAUGAUGCCCUGGAGGACCCUACGCCCAUGACUCCUCCUCCAUCCGACAUGGGCAGCAUCCCCUGGAAGCCAGUGAUUCCUCGCCAAGGUGGAGGAAGGAGAGGCCAGUGUAUCCUCCCCUGCUAUGACUCUGUCAUCAGCCAUUGACAGUACGGAUAAGAUCCCAGUGGUGAAGGCUAAAGCUACCCAUGUCAUCAUGAAUUCUUUGAUCACAAAACAGACCCAGGAGAGCAUUCAGCGUUUUGAACAACAGGCAGGGCUGAGAGAUGCUGGCUACACACCCCACAAAGGCCUUACCACUGAGGAGAGCAAAUACCUUGGAGUGGCAGAAGCACUCCACAAACUAAAGCUACAGAGUGGAGAAAUAACAAGAGAAGAGAAGCAGCCUGUGUCAGCCCCAUCCACCCGAAGCAGCACCCCUCAUUCUUCACCCAAGCAUAGGCCCAGAGGCUGGUUCACUUCUGGUUCUUCCACAGCUUUACCUGGCCCAAAUCCUAGCACCAUGGAUUCUGGAAGUGAGGAUAAGGACAGAAACCCAUCAGAUAAAUGGAGCUUCUUUGGACCAAGAUCCCUCCAGAAGUACGAUUCAGGAAGUUUUGCCACCCAGGCCUACCAAGGAGCCCAGAAACCCUCUGCAAUGGAAUUGAUCCGAGCACAGGCCACUAGGAUAGCUGAAGAUCCAGCAACCUUCAAGCCACCCAAGAUGGACAUCCCAGUGCUGGAAGGGAUGAAACAACCCCCACGGACCCAUAAUCUCAAACCCCGUGACUUGAAAGUGCUCACACCCACAGGCUUCUAAAGCUCUUUCUGUUCCAGGGAUUCUAGAGCCCCUCUUCCCUUUUACCUUGGCUCUGACAUAGGAAAGGUAUAUUUAAAAAAAAAAAAAAAUCUCUUAAACUGAGGCUACACCUGAAGACAUAAUUGGUUUUUGAGAAACAGUAGUGAGGAGUUUGCCCUUGCUGUGUGGAAGAAGCCAUUUUGUACUGCUUUAAAGUUAGGUUAAAUCUCAGCACUUGUGCAUGGGGACUUCAUGAUCUAUUUUUGUAUUAUUUACCCUAGAUAAGACUGUGAUUGUUGCUUCCUGAGAUAGUGUUUGGGCUGCUCUAAAAACACAGGCUUCU